AGAGUUUGAUCAUGGCUCAGAUUGAACGCUGGCGGAAUGCUUUACGCAUGCAAGUCGAACGGCAGCACGGGGCAACCUGGUGGCGAGUGGCGAACGGGUGAGUAAUACAUCGGAACGUGCCCAAUCGUGGGGGAUAACGUAGCGAAAGUUACGCUAAUACCGCAUACGAUCUACGGAUGAAAGCGGGGGAUCGCAAGACCUCGCGCGAGUGGAGCGGCCGAUGUCAGAUUAGGUAGUUGGUGGGGUAAAGGCUCACCAAGCCAACGAUCUGUAGCUGGUCUGAGAGGACGACCAGUCACACUGGAACUGAGACACGGUCCAGACUCCUACGGGAGGCAGCAGUGGGGAAUUUUGGACAAUGGGCGCAAGCCUGAUCCAGCCAUUCCGCGUGCAGGAUGAAGGCCUUCGGGUUGUAAACUGCUUUUGUACGGAACGAAACGGCGAGCUCUAAUACAGUUUGCUAAUGACGGUACCGUAAGAAUAAGCACCGGCUAACUACGUG
rnacentral:rRNA from 1 species